CGGAUGGGAGACGGUUGAGACGACCCUUGAUACCUUUGACGGAGAUGAUGUAGAGAUUCUUGGCUCCGGUGUUGUCAGCACAGUUCACGGUGGCUGCCACUGGAAGACCCAGUGACAUCCUGAACUUGUUUCCAGAGGUUCCUCCUCUUCCUAUUAACAAUCGAAACAAAACAUUACAAAUUUCCAGUUAAUUUGGAUUUAUAUAGUUCAGUUGACCACAAGCGCCAUUUAUCAAUGGACCACAUAAGUUAUUCUCCUAUGUUUUUGAAACAACUUAAUGACUAUCUCACGUCUAUGAACUUCUAGUUAAUAGGAUAGUAACAAGUGGAUGCCAUAAUCUUUCCACAAGUUUUUUCAGAAUUUAUAUAAGUGUUGAAAGAUUUAUAUAUAAGGUGACAUAUAUAACUUUUACGGAAAAUUAUUAAUCAAAUACAAAUAUUUCACAUUAUUAUAUGAGCAACACUAUUAAACAAUAAACAAAAAUAUUCCAAAUGAGAAACACUAUAAAUCAACCUAAGUAACAGACAUAUCGUUAAGAUCUCAACAUAUGAUUCGUGACAAAGUUUAUAUACGUAAUCCUUGAAACUAAUCACAAUCACGGCAGUACACAUUGAUGGUAACGCAGAUUCAGCUUUAUAAACGACAAUCAAUCAUGAAAGGUGCUAAUCACUAGAUAUUCAUUAUGAGAGGACAAGGUAGCACAAGCGAGCAUAUGAAUAAAAGUCUUGACAAAAGGAAGAGAUUGUUACCUCGCUUCGACAUGGUUGCAGCUCUCGUUGGGAAGAGCUCGACGGCAGUGAGGAGGCGGUAUAUAAGUUGUUAUGCUAGGGCUUACUACAACUAUUUCAUGCUGACCUGGAUAGUGAUUAUGGGCCCUGAGAAGCUUACCCAUAAGCCCAAUAGUGUAAUACAGAUUACAAUCUAUUAUGGGCCCGAAAAGCAUACUAAUGAGGCCUAUAAUGCAAUACUCCUAUUUCUCAAUUAUCUUCACUCUAAUCUCGAACAAUGCAUCAUCAUUGUCAUAAAGUAAUGUGUUCUUAUUCAGAUUAACCAUCAUGUAGUACAAUUUAGACUCUAGAACUCUUAAAAAGGAGACAUGACCAAUUUAUUUCUUUAAAGAAGACCUUAAUGUUAAUAUAUUUGACAUUAAUGAAAUCUCUAGAACAAACCAACCAUUAACAAUGAGUUUCUUUGGUUACCCAACAUAACUCUUAUUCGUGUCUAAACAAUCUUUUGUCAGCUAACUGAGAAGAAUCUGCUCAGUUCACAUAAUCCUACCUAAAGAAAGGGGAUAUUUCUAAGUGAAGAGGUGUGGCGAACAUAAGACUUCUCUCUUGAACUUAAGCAGAAGCAGCUCAGGAUGGAUCAAAGUGUAUGUGUGUUAUUAUGUUUUACUCUGAUGUUCAGCCUCAUUUUCUUUUUAAUGCCAUCGCUUUGGAACCUGCGUUACAAGAUUUUGCAGGUAUUAGUAAACACCCAACGACUAAAUGAAUCAUUCACAAAUCAUAAUGGGAUCAAAAGCUUUAGAGAGGACAAACUAUGACAACUGAUGCCUAUCUUGUCUCAAGACUAGAACAAUUUACUCACCUGCUUGUUUUUUAGCAGGAACAGCCUUUCUUCUUUCUCCUGACUUGCCUCCAGAUCCUGACAUAUGUCCCACCAUAAUGCAUAAUUAGCCAUGAAAACUCAGUUUUCUUUGAACCAAUGUAUUUUACGAAAUGUUCGGAUCUCUUACCGAACAAAACAUGUUCUAACUUAGAAUCUGUGUGCAUACAAAGGAUGCAAGCCAAUGCUCUGUCGUAAAGAUUUGAAUAACGAAGGCAAUGUGUAAAGAUAACUGACCUUUUGGCUUUUUGUCUCUGCAUAAUUCGCUUCCGCAGCAACAUCUAAAUGCCUUCACGGGAUGACUUUCAUCAUGGAAAUCUAUCAAGUAAUCCUGCGCAUUCAAAAAACACGGGUUAUUUGAACGGAGUAUGUGUACAACUCAAGAGUAAAUAACAUUACGUGUUUGGUCCAGCUCGUUCGUGGAGUCAUAUACAAACAAAGCAGAUAUAUAUAUAUAAAAUGGCAAAAUCAAUAUCAUGUCUAGUUGUUUAGCUUCAGUGACAUAUCCACAGUUGCGUGCUUACCCAUGUCAGUUCAUCCAUGGCCUUCACGUCUCGAAUGGUAAAAAAGGCAAUCUGCACAUGACCAAACCCAAAAUCCUUAAGCUCGCUGAAAACUUACUUUAACAAUCAGUGCCUUGAUCAUGUUAAGAGUGGCGAAAUCAUAUACUUACAUGAUAAUAAUGUCUGUCAGGAGUCUCUAUUUGUACCGGAAUAUCAAUCAAGUUUGCAUCCUCACAUCUGCAUCAACAGUAGAGUUCAUAAGAAGAUAAAGCACGAAAGAAACAAAGCAUAAUGAGAGUUGAUUGGUACUACCUGUGAUUGACAAAUCUAGCGACAUUUCCACAGACUGUGGCAUCCAGGCAGAGAGCUUCUUCAUCUUUCAAAUCCUUUUCAGAACCCCAGUCUGCAUCCAGAGUUACAGGAUAUGUAUGCCGUUCACUAGUAGAUCUUAUAUUCCGAUCGUACAACUCCGUAUUGGUCAAUAUUUCACCAAUAUAUUCACAAACAAAGGUUCCUUUCGGCAAGUCUUGCAGUGUUCUAAUACCCCAUCCUUUCCCUUCUUGGGUAAAGUAAACCUGCAACAAAUAUUUUACUAGUCAAACAUCACAAGACAUGAAGCAAUGGUCGGCAUAAAAGAACUAAAGUAGCAUGUUACCUGGAGUUGGCACCUUAUCCCUCUCUGCACCACUCGAUUCCCACACAUCAUAUCACAUCCACACUUUCUCCAACACUCCUUAAUAAACUUCCUAAUCAAAUGUCCUUCACACUUCCCAUCAUCUCUCUCCAAAGGGCAGUCUUGGCAGUAAAACUUACUGAAGCUAUCAGGCGCCUUCUUCAUCUUAAGACAAGUAUCCAAAAACUCCUCCUUUAACAACCCAUCUUUACUAUACGCAUACUCUCCGCCGGUUUCACGAGCACAAGCACACGGAAAGUCCGCUGAAAGACAGUCCCCCUUACAGCUCGCGCAACAAUCGUCAUCAGAAAUUCUAGCCAGAGACACAUGGACAUAAGCACUUUGGUAAACAAUGUUGUGAGGGAUGUAAGUAAACUUGGGGACUUGCUCAGUCCCAACCUCAUCAACCAGAGAUAUCUCAACGCUCUCUGAGCCUUUCGUGAUGUCACGAAUAAUCGUUUUAUACUUCUUCUUGCGAACAACACCGUUGCUAGGAUGCUUCUGAGCUUCCUCAGUGGACGAGCCUGAGGCUGCGGAACGGGUUUCGUAUUUUCUUUUCAGAGUAGCAGGAGAGUCAGUGCCCACAACAACAUUCUUCCCUUGCUUCUUCAGAGCACCACUAGGAGGAGAGUCAAAGACAUGCUUCCCUCUAGUGCCGUUAGAUAAAGUUUCGUUUUUUUUCUUAUCCUCUUCUUCUUCUUCUUGUUCUUCGUCGAGAGAGUAGAUAGCGUCGAUCAAUGCGGUGUAGUUAUCAAGUUUGAUGAGAGUCCAAUUCUCACCGUUCUCUUGGAGAAGCUUCUUAAGCACUGAGAGUGUCUUCUCAUCGGGGAUUUUUAGUUCUCUUGUUGUCUCACAAGCUUUGCGUACUCUCUCGUCAGUGAGAAUCAAAGGCUGCAUAUCGAGAUCACCUCUACACACCAAACUUUUUAAGCAAAAAAAAAAUUAAUAAAAAAUUAUCACUAUUAAAAUCCAAUUAAGUUAUCAACAAUCAAAGCAUAUUCUCACUAAAUCGAAUAAGCACGGAAACAAAUCUCAAUCGAUUCGAUUCGAAUGCAGAAACAUCAUCAAAUCAACGAGGAGAAAAGUUUCCUAAAAAUUUGGAGUUUGAAGCCUAAAUAAAUCCAAAAAAAUCGCCGAAUCGCGAAACUAAUACAGAGAGAGGCCUAAAGUAAUCGUAGAUUCCGUAAGAGAUCACAUUGAGAGCUUGCAGAGAAGGAAGGAAAGAAGAACCUCUCAGUGGUUAGUUGGGGGGGAGAGUGAGUAAUUGAAGCGGAAGCUUCUCGAAUUGAAUUGAAUUGCAUGCAGAGAGAGGAGAUCGAACUUUGUGUGAGACUUUGAAAAAGAAAUUAUAAAUUAAAAAAAAAAUAUUACUAAAAAAGUAAAUGGAUCCGAUCAAUUCACAGAGUCAGAGAAUCCGAUUCACGGCGGAGUACACUGUUUGUUUAGAUUUUUUCUUCUUUUGUCUUUCUUACUGAAGAGACUGUGUUUAUUAUGUUUUUAGGCCCAUUUACCUGAGAGGCCCAAAUAAAAUCUUUUCUUUUAAAACGGCGUGGUAUUGAACUCAAAUUUGGAUUCUGCCGAACCUACCCAACAUCGGUUAAGGUCACAUUUAAUUAGACUACAAUUUCCAGUUAAUUUGGAUUUAUAUAGUUCAGUUGACCACAAGCGCCAUUUAUCAAUGGACCACAUAAGUUAUUCUCCUAUGUUUUUGAAACAACUUAAUGACUAUCUCACGUCUAUGAACUUCUAGUUAAUAGGAUAGUAACAAGUGGAUGCCAUAAUCUUUCCACAAGUUUUUUCAGAAUUUAUAUAAGUGUUGAAAGAUUUAUAUAUAAGGUGACAUAUAUAACUUUUACGGAAAAUUAUUAAUCAAAUACAAAUAUUUCACAUUAUUAUAUCAUCUCACUAUUGUAAUAUUCCCAACCGAAUUUGAAAGCUUUCAUUGUGAAGCAAAUGGUAAGAAGCAAAAUUUCUUUGGUUGCUUUAACAAAAACAAGGGACCAGCAAAAUUUUCCCAACGUCUCUCCGAUGUAGACCUUCUCUUCAACAAUCUGCAAUACAAAUUUGAAUAUUCCAUCGAUAUUAUUUUAGUUACUCAACUCUUUUUUUAUUUUUUUUUGCUAACAUACUCAACUCAUUUAUCUCUCACUAUAGGUAAUUAGUAGCUAAUUCCUAGCAGUCAUCAUUUGUAACUUUUCUUCAUACCUAUUGUUUUUUUUGGACAAAUUCUUUAUACCUAUAUUGUUAAACUUCUAAUUUUCAGCUGUAUGAGUAAAACUCUAUAUUAUAGAUAAACUUAAAUAAAAGAAAAGUAAUAGAUUAAACGUACCAUCUCCUUUUCUACGCAAGCUCUUGAGGAACAAGAAGAAAAUAGCAACAAAGACCAAAGCCGCGACUCCUCCUACAACUAUCGCCAACGACUUCCCCGUGCUUGUUUUUCCCCUUUCCUCUGCCAAAACAAAAAUAUAUCUUACCAACUUAUAUUUGUUUGAUUAUCUAAGUUCAAGUUCGGAGUUGUUAAAAAAAAAAAGGUUCAAGUUCGGUUUGACUUGAAAACAACUAUUGCAAAUUAAAGUUAUUGUUUAUUGAUUAUAUUUAUAUAUAUAACACAUAAUCCUUAUUUACUCGGUUUGGCUAUACUAAAGUUGAGUAUGUUUUUUAUUUUUUUAUUAUAAAUUUGUUAAUCAGUUUAUAAAUAAUAAAAAAUCGUUUUUGGUAAAUAUUUAUAUUGAAAUAAGUGAUAAUAUUAAUGUGUUGAGACGUAUUUGCAUUUGUACAUAUAUAUACAUGCAUACGUACCGUGGUAUGAAUCACCGGGAUAUUCAUGCGGGUUAUACGUAUACCCAACGUAACACCCUUCCAAGUAUAUUUGACUGGCGGUGGACCACGGACACUCUUCUGCCGCUGCUGCCGCGGCCGCACUGACGCACUCGCCGCAAUCACAGGCUUCAACGUGGCCGUCGCAUUGAGCCACAACGUGCAAGAGCUUGUAGCUUUCCUCGUAGAACCCGUGCCCGUCAACGACUCCUGUUUCGGCAGCUGUGAGUGCCACCGUUCUCAUCUCUUCGAAUCCGACGAGCGUCUCCGCCGUAGCUCCGUCACAUAUCUUGUGGAUGAGACCUCGUUCCGGUGUUUCCAAUAACUUGUAGUUAUGAUGAUUAGCUUCUCCGAAAACGAAAGCAACAAAUAAAUAGUGUUGGAAAAAAAAACUAUAAAAUGUUAUCUAGAUAUAGCAUUUAUAUUUACGUAAAGGUCCAUCUCCUAGCAAAUUCACAUUUAAUAAAUCAUUCAGCCCUUCAGUUUUUACAUCAAACAAAGUUAUUAAAUAUACAAUGUAAUGUAAUACUUACGAGAAGUAGGGGUAUCAACAUGUUCAAUUUCGUACACCAUGUGACAUCCUCGGAGAUGAACCCGAGCUGACGUGGCAUUUCCACACAAUCUAGACGAAAUAUCACGAAGCUCACGAACGCAUCUAUGGCAUAUCUCACUCGGGUAAUCUUCUCUGCAUUGGAACCAUCCCGAGACCGCGUGUUGCUCGUUACCAACUAGAGUCUUAAAGAACUUCGCUCGAGAGGAUUCUGAUUCGAGUUUGCUUAAGAAAGAAUAAAGAGCUUGCGCACGAAGAAGGAGAUUAGGAUUCGAGUAACUUGGAUCUUUUCUGGUUACUUUUUGGAGGAUGUUUGUGUCUGAUGAAUCACAUUGACUGAACACUAGAGUGUCGUAAUCCAACUGGGAUGUGUUAAUGAGAGAGGGAAGAGAGAUGAAGAUUAGGGCUAGGGUUCGUGCGAUAGGAGAGAUCAAGUGGACAACCAUAUUUGAGACAUAUAUUGAAAGAUCAUAAGUUCAUUGAGUAUAUAUUGGUGAAUAGAGAUGGAUGUUGUGGUAGUUUUAGAUAUUGUCUACGUAUCUCUACUUAAAACCCGACCUAUAUAUAUGUCAUCCUGUCUAUUUAUUUGUAUCAUUUGGUUGUGACUUGUGAGGGCAAGUACACGUGAGAUCAUAACCGGUAGAUAUAUUAUAUUAUUAUCACCAGUUUUUGAAUUCGCUACAAAUGUAAAACGCAAUAGUUUGUAGAUAAGACAAUGUUUUCUUUCUAGCCUAACUCUUAUCUAAUCAAUUUCUCAUCGGUCUGAACAAAUUGUAAUAACUUGUACAGUCUGCACUCUUGCAAGUAUCAUAUUUUCAUAAAGGUUUAGAUAGCAGUAAAAAGAUAUUUCCGCUCAACUAAACUGACCUACCAAGGUGGUAGACCCAUAAUGUUAAAAAAAAAAAAGGGUGGUAAACCCAUACACGUUUACAACUAGGGGACAUCUUUGUAAAGUUUAAAUUAUUAUUUAGACCAAUAAUACCAUAUUAUAUACUCUCCAUUUCUAAAAGAUCUAUAUUAUAGUUUUUUACAUUUAAAAAAAAACAUUUAAAAUUAUAUUUUUAAUACAUUGUUUUUCUUAAUUAAUUAUUUUCAAUAACUUUUAACCAAUUGUAUAGCCUGCAUGGAGCUUGUUAUCAGCAAUACCAUUUGAUUUUUUUUUCAAAAAAAGUUAAAUACUUUUCAUGAACAUGAAAUUACGUAAAAUAAAGAAACUAAACGAGCUAGUGAAUCUAGAAAAGGGAUUCGGGAUCAAUAAACGAAAAAGUAAAACCCACGACUCAAUACCAAUAUUCAAGCCGAAACUGAAUCCAAAGCUAAUAAAAAGCAAGGAUAUGUAUACAAAAAAAAAACACUAGAAUUUCUUCAUUAUAAGAAAACUAAAAUUACGAAGGAAAAUAUAAAACUCCUCUAUUCUUUCGUAAAACUCCGUUAAUUCGUUUUACGACAGAAACUUCUUCUCAUUUGUCAGAAAGAUCUUCUGUUUUUUCAUUACAACAAAAAGUCAAAGAGUCAAAGAGUCCUCAACUUUUAUAACCAAUCUUCCGUUGAAAACAGUACGUUAAAUAAAAACCAACGGUCGAGUUCUUAUCAUGUCUAAAAACCACCAGCUCCUCCCUAAUCUCACGCUCCUUCCCUCCUUCCUUUUUAUCCUCCUUCUCAAUCUCUUCUCAACUGAUCGUAUAAUCAUUUCACGAGAGACGAGUGAAACACAAGAAGGUUAACCCUUUCUUGGCUCCCACGCUUCUCGCGAAAGAUUAAACGAAUCCAUUUAGGUUUUUUAGAACACACAAUAAAAAAAAACAUGGUUCGGCUCAAAUUCGCAUGUCCGGUCCUCGAAAUCAACUUAAUCUCAGCACAAGACCUAGCCCCUAUCUCAAAAAACAUGAAAACAUACUCCGUCGCGUGGAUCAACACCGAUCCCAUGCGUAAACUCACGACGCGUGUGGACCAAGCUAACCGAGCUAACCCUAUCUGGAACGAGAAGUUCGUGUUCCGCGUAGACGACAAGAUCCUCGACGUCGACGCGUCGUCGAUAGUCAUCGAGAUAUACGCGGCGGCUUGGGCCAAAGACGCGCUCGUCGGGACCGUGAACGUUCUCCUCAGCGACCUCUUCGCUCCCUGGUCCGGCUUCGGAGACGGAGACGACGGCGGCGGCGGGAACAACAACAUGAGGCUCGUGACGCUUCAGAUCCGCCGCCCUUCCGGGAGGCUUCAAGGCUUUUUGCGUUUAGGCGUCGCGCUUCUCGACGGCGGUCAGAGGAGUAUGCCGUUGUCGGUCGAGGUUUUUGAUGGAAGUCGGAGAGAUAGUAAGAGAGAUGAUGCGAAGAUGAUGCAUCGUCGUACGAAUAGCGAUCAGACGGAUUUAACUACGUCGACUAAUGAUUACGGAGUGAAGACAGGGGUUGUUAGUGGAGGAGGUGGUAGUGGUGGAGGAGGAGGAGGAAUCGUCCAUGAAAAAAAUCAUACCUUUUGCUUUAAAAUUUUCAAGAGAAAAAAAAACAGAACACAGACCCAACCAAUUGAAGAGAAACAGCAAAUAAUCAUUUUAAGCUGAUUCAAAAUCUUGAGAUUAUACUUUCUUAUCCUCCAUGAACCAAUACCACAUCAACAAGAGACAAUAAAUGAACAUAAUCAGCAAAUAUAAUGACUUUAAGCUGAGCUAAAAACAAAAAUCAAUAACAGAUCAAACGGACAAUUAGUUAGUGUUCAUUUCUCUUCCCUCCACAAAUCAUAAAGAACAAAAAACCAAUCAGCUAACUCUCUGAAGAGACACACACCGAUGUCUAAGAAUGCCGACAGUGAGUAAAUGGAUUAUAGAAUCUCCUCACAACCAAAAAAAGGAAAGAAAAAGACAGAAUCUUCUUACCCGACCAAGCAACACAGCAUCCAAUACCAAAAGGGCUUUUAAUCCUUGAAUGAUUGAACUAAACCAAAAAAAAUUGUCUUUUUAAGUAUUUGUCUUCUCGAUUUUCCCAAACAAAACAAAACUAUUUUUCUCUUCCUGAAUUAUUUGAGAAGACUAUAAAAGGAGAUUCAUGUAGAGCAGAGCUGCAGAGUCAAUCAAUAGAUGUUUCUCUGCCGUAGAGGAUUACGAAAGGCCGUGUUUUAAAAUGAAGCGUAUGGGGUCCAUCUGAUGUUUGCUUCUAUUUUGAUUGGUCGAGUGUUGCUCGGUGCUUAUAACGUCAAGGCACUACCCAAUAUUCAUUUUUAGACAUUUUCAUAAUGUUUGACCUAACCUAGUAGUAGUUUUAAAUUUGUUUGAUUUAAUUGAUCUUCUAUUAACAUUAUACAAACUCUGAUCGACUGAAAGUGAUAGAAGAAAAUUAUUUAAAAUAUUUUUAUUCCACCAAUACCCAAUCCUGUUGUUAGUACACGAGGCUAGAGCAUAUAAUUAGGCCAUUUUACAGGUUCAACUAAAGAAAAUAAUACAGAGAACGUAAUAAUAAUUCAUCAUUCCGCAUCGUAUUGGGCUUUUAUUGGGCCGAUCAGACUCGUUGUAACUCGAGUAUUAAAAGUUUAUUUUGGGCUGAAAACUAUACUUAUAGAGAAUCAAAGCCCGAACUAAACCAGAGGAAGAACAAUUCUUGUUAAGUGCUUAUAACCAGAUUAACCGAACCAAACCAGAGGAAGAACCGGUCCACAUACUAUUGUUUGAUUUUGACACAGAAAUUAAAAUCUCACAGGCAAAAUUAAAUGUUGAACAAAACCAUAAUUACUAGAAUCACGAUUAAGGCAUAACACAAGUCUAAGACAAAAACAAAACAUCCUCAACAGAGGUUUGAUAAAACGUUCAAGCAACACAAAAGAGAGAUAGAACUUAAACGAUGGCGUUAGCAGCACUAGCGAUCCUUGGCCACAGGUCGGCACACUCCUUCCCGAUUGGUCCAGUGAUAGCAGAUCCUACACAUUACACACAGACAUUCAUCAGCUACCAAAGAUAACACGAUUAACUCAAAAUCAAAUAAACACGAUGUUAUUACCUUUCAUUUCACCCUUGGGAUUGACAAUGACACCAGCAUUAUCUGCAAUCAACCACACCAACUUUCAUUAGACUUCAAACAAUAAUAGACAGACAGAUGAAGAUAUGAUUAAAAUGAUUACCCUCGAAGUACAUGAAGACACCGUCCUUUCGGCGCCAUGGCUUCCUCUGCCUAACAAUGACAGCUGGCAGCACCUUCUUACGUAGAUCAGGUUUACCUUUCUUCACGGUAGCCAUGACCAUGUCACCAACACAGGCGGAUGGGAGACGGUUGAGACGACCCUUGAUACCUUUGACGGAGAUGAUGUAGAGAUUCUUGGCUCCGGUGUUGUCAGCACAGUUCACGGUGGCUGCCACUGGAAGACCCAGUGACAUCCUGAACUUGUUUCCAGAGGUUCCUCCUCUUCCU
rnacentral:lncRNA from 1 species